UACGUAGGGGGCAAGCGUUGUCCGGAUUUAUUGGGCGUAAAGAGCGUGUAGGCGGUUUGGUAGGUCCGCUGUGAAAACUCGAGGCUCAACCUCGAGACGCCGGUGGAAACCAUCAGACUAGAGUCCGGAAGAGGAGAGUGGAAUUCCUGGUGUAGCGGUGAAAUGCGCAGAUAUCAGGAGGAACACCGGUGGCGAAGGCGGUGCUCUGGGCCAGUACUGACGCUGAGGAGCGAAAGCGUGGGGAGCAAACAGG
rnacentral:rRNA from 1 species